AAACCAGCACCUCAAGUGGUCAGGAGGAUUAUUGGGCCUAAAGCAUCCGUAGCCUGUUCUGUAAGUUUUCGGUUAAAUCCACUAGCUCAACUAGUGGGCUGCCGAAAAUACUGUAGAACUAGGGAGUGGGAGAGGUAGACGGUAUUCGGUAGGAAGAGGUAAAAUCCUUUGAUCUAUUGAGGACCACCUGUGGCGAAGGCGGUCUACCAGAACACGUUCGACGGUGAGGGAUGAAAGCUGGGGGAGCAAACCGGAUUAGAAACCCGAGUAGUCC
rnacentral:rRNA from 1 species